AGGUAACCUGGGGAGGGAGAGAAUGAUAGUACCUUUAAUUACUACUGAUUUAUAUCUGUUCCCUGUCCAAUCCACCUCUAAAAUGUAUUCCCAUAGACCUAAGCAGCUUAGAAGUGGAUCUGAGGGAAUAUCAAGGAUGCAGAAACCCAGCAUGGGAAGGAGAAGCAAAGUGCUGCCUUAAACAUUGACACAUUGCCAGAUGUAGUGCUUUUUAACAUUGGUGUGGGCUUGUUCACACUUGUCAAAUCACACUGUGCUUGCUAAUGUUGCAUUUUCAUCAAAUAUAUUAGCUCCCUCUCUGUUCCCACUCUUCAGCAACCCUUUUCAUUUAUCCUUUCUUCCCUUCAUUCCACUGCUCUUUGUUUUUCCUUUUUUCCCUUAUCCUAGGGCUCCUUUCUUUCCGCCUGACUCCCCCUCACCUGAAAAAUCAGUCUGACCCAAUCUACAUUUUUUUUAGAACACGUAGGUUAAGCAGAUGCCUGCCUGGAGGAAUUUACAGUCUCAUCCUGUGUACAACAUGCAAGGAAUAAAUAGGCUGAUAUUCAAGAGUGGGAGUAGUAAUUGUCAGUCAGCAAUUGAAGGAUACAUGAAAGAAACAUGUUUGGGAUUUUCUUAGGGAAAAAAAAAGUGUAGCACUGGAUCGCUGACCUGAAGAAAAGGGAUGCUUUUCCUGGUGUGCCAAAGGGGGUAAUGAAGUAAAUGAAGAAAAUGAGGUAAUGUAAAUGUAAAAGUAAAUGAAGUAGUGGAGUUCAGACCCGGGGAGCAUUUUGUAUGGAAAACCUGGAUGCACGAGAAAUAACAGAUUACAGUGGGUGGGAGUUUCUUAUAGGUGAAAAAAAAGACUCUUAAAUUUGUGAAAAAAAUAGGUGGGGUUUAUGAAGGGAUUGAAAAAAAAAUAUGCUCAGAGCAGCAGAACAUCCCCUCUUCCCCUUUGUUUUUAAUCUAUGCAAUAGAAGAAAGUAUUCUAAUUCCUUUGCCCCCUUGGCACUUCCCCAUUUCCCUGUGUGAUGUGGAAGGAUAAAAAGAGAGAGCGUUGAGCUCAGGGUGUCUGAUUUGGUUGGACAGGAGAAAUACAGAAAAGAUCUUUGCCGAAGGCAGAUCUGUAGGCGGCAAGCAAGGGUGAGUGGAAAGGAAUUGUCCUGAAAGGCUCUUAUCCAGGAUCUCAUCUCAUUUCACCCGAGUGGGGGAUGUCUGACAAAUGCAGCCAGUUAAGCAAGGCCAGUGUUAAACCAGACUGCUGCCCUUCAGUGGUUUGAGAGCUGCUGCUAGAGGGAGAAUGCUAAGCAGUACAAAAUCCUGAAGGAUCACUAAGAUAGCCUGAGCUAUGUAGGUUAUGCUGUUUAGCUGGUAUUGGGUGCUCUUAGGGGCAGAUAUCAUGUUAUAAUCUUUUUUUUUCUUUUUUUUUCUUUUUUUUUUUUUUUUCUCUAGGUUGGAAUUCUUUGUGUUCUUAUGGUGAAAAAUGGUAAUGGGUUUAAAUCUUCUCUUCAGAUUGACAACCUUUUACAAACCUCAAAGAAGAUUUUUGCCAAGGAAGGAGCUUCUGCUCUCCUGGUAAUAUCUGUACUGUGAUAUGUGUAAAUUUGUACAAAAACCAAAACAAAACAAAAAAGCACAACCAACAAAUGAGUUCUAGAAACACAGCCAGUGGGGACUCAGUUCCUAAGUUCUGCCAGCUCCUUCAUGGAUUCAGCAUCUUUGCUGAGUGGGUCACAAAAUGGGCUUUGGGCUUUGGUACCUUUCUCAAAAUCUGUAUAUUCAGCUCUUCAUCUUGCAGUACGGCUGUUAUUCCUCAUAUUCAGGGACUAAAGGUAUGGACUUGGGUAGGAUUCUAGCAGGCCUGCUGCACUGGAAGCCCAGGGAAAGUUCUGAUCAGGUCAGUUACGCUGUGGAAGCAGAGACAGCUUCUUGACCCACCAAUAUUAUGGAAGAAGAACUACAGUUCUCCUUCACCUCCAUCUCUCAUUAUCCUUACAAUGGAUAAUCACUGCUUUUGUGGCAGCUUAGUGUGUCAUAUCCACACUCAAUGUAAUACAGAUUACUAAAGGUGAUAUUUAUCAACCACAGCCUAGGCUGUAAUAAUUUUGAGUCCUUAUGUCCUAUGCACAGCAUGGGAACAUAACCAAAUACUUUUCAAAACAAUAAUGUUUCUUCCCGUUGUUGAGACAAGGGAUACGGUGUGUUCAGGAAAAUGAUACGAUUUGUUCAGACAUAGGCUUACCAUAAGCCCUCCAUCUUUCCACUGAAUGUAAUCUGAGGCUUUCCUGUGUUUGGGGAAAGAUUUGCUGGGGACUUAAGUAAAUUAAGGAUGGCUACAUGUUGGAAGAUACAGAGCUUCCAGUACUCACUGUAGUGGUUGUAGGUAUUGUAAUGAACCCUUAUCAGAAUCCCACUUGCCUGAGACCCUGCAUCAAUGAUUAUUUUUCAUCUGAAAGAGGCUUUGCCUGAAUUAGUGUUUUGAUAUGGAACAAUAGUGCAGUUUGGAAGCAAGUCCCCAUAUCGUGUCUACUUGCCGUGCAUCGGAGUGGUUUUGGAAUGCAUUAACCAGGUUCUGUAGGAGUCACCACACAAAAGCUCCGCUCCAGGAACAGCACAACCCCAGCAGGGAUACAAAGAUCCAAAAGAAAGAUUAUUCUUACAGAUAUUCCUGAACCAAAUAUGUGACAGGAGUACUUGGUCCAUAGAACUAUGCUAAAUGUAGUCCAAAGCUAAACUCCGGAAUUGCAUUUAGUGUGUGCUUUGAUCUACUGAUGUGCUCCUAUUGUACAAAAUUACUUGCAGGAUGUUGGCAGAAGUGGCUGGGGUUUAAAUCCCAGGAUUAAAUAUAAAGAUGAGAAACAGGAGAAACGAGAAGCACACCCAUGGCAGUAUCUCAUCAUGUAGUUCAUCCCAAUAGUUCACACCGUGAGCAGCCCUCUACUUGUCCCCCAGCUUCACAUUUGCGUUAGCAGAUACAAAGUUCUGGUCUUCUUUGCCUACCAAAUCCUCGCAGUGAAGACAACCCCUCUUUCCUGCACAGAGGAAUAUGACUGUCAACAGAAGAUUUGUGAAAGUUCACUUACCAGAGAAGGACUAAAGCUAAACCUUGCUAUCAAGAAGUGAGAACAGUAAAUUGUGUGGUAUGGGAAGUCAUUAGUAUGUGCUGCAUGCCUAUGCAUUGCGCUGCAGAUUGAUCUCCCUGCUGUUCAAAGGACAAGGAUACCUGAGACAACCCCAGGGAACUUUAAUUUUAAAUUCCCUCCCUUCCCCACAAAAGUCUUGUCUUCUGAAGAAGGAAACUGGAGGUAAAUGUUCAGGCUUUUCAUCUGUGGGGUGGGGCAGUGAUUCUCAGCCCGUGGCUGCAUGCCAUCAUUUUUGCCACUAUUCUAAAACGGGAAAGGUUUGAAAACUUUCAUCUUAGAAUUAGAAAACAGCUGGGGUGAUUCAAGCACUCCAUGCCCCGUGGCUGUCUGCAAUUUCCUCUUUCUUCAUGAUGAGCACAAGCGUAAUUGUUUGGUUCUGUUAAGGAGAGAAGGUUAUACUUGUUUCUUCCUGAUCAUUAAUAUGCAUCCCUUGGAUUCUGUAUUGGGUUUUUCGUCAAAGAGAAGAGAACCACCAUGAAUGUGGGUGCAAGAAUAAGAGAUUAAGGUCUGGUACAGCCCUGAGACAUGGAGGGAGAUGGGACACAAUGGAUUCAUGGGCUGAAGCAGUACUGAAGACAGGAAUCCUGUUAGGGGACAGGGGGUUCUGCCAUAUGCAGUAGUUCAUAUGGGGUGAGGAAACAAAGGAAUUCUUACAGAAAAGCAGCACUGACAUUGUUUUCAAGUCGAGCUUUUUGUUCCCGUUAGUUCCAUGAAAUUUCAUGGUGUACCCAUCUAAAUUAUUACCUCCUAAUGCUAUUGUUGCUCGGCUUGUUUUUGUGAGAAUGUUAUAAAUCUUAAUUUUUAUGGUGCUUUGCUUGAUAAUGCAUGGAUGUUUGGACACAUGAUUUCCAAUGCUAGUUGGUGUAGUUAGUAUUAUGUUAUAUGUAAUUAAAAUACAUUAAUAUUGACCGAGGUUAUGUGUUUCUACAUUGUCAGCUGAGAGCUUGAAUUCAAUAUGCAUAGAAAUAAAAAGAAGUUUUAUGCACCCUGUGUGCAUGUAGGAAUGAAUUUUGGAAAGUGCUGAACAUUUUAGCUUAAAACUGUUGCAGGAAAGACUUAGAGCACUGAAGUUUCACUCCUUCAUACUAUUUUAUAUCUCAAAUUUUUAAGGGAGAAGAACUCCAUCUGACUUAUAUGUUUCUUUUAUAUGACUAUGGAACGUUCAAAGUGCACAAAAGUUAUAAAUCAGAUCCCAGAAGCAAAGAUAUUGUCCUGGCUUCUUUCUGCUUACUAGAUGCCCUUAAGGAUUCUGUUUUCCAGACUCUUCUACACACUUCAGAAACUCUCUUAUUUGACAGUGAUGACUGCUUUGUAAUUGUCUGAUUCCAGGAGCUGGAUCUUCGUGGAAAAUACAAAAUACUGCAAGGCAAGACCAGCUUCCAAAAUGUGAUGUUUGUAUAUAUAUAUCUGUGCUACAACUAUCUUGGUUGUUGUAGUCUAAUGUGUUCUGUGCUGUCUUAAACGGAAUUUGUUCCAUUUACUCCACCUUAAAUUCUUCACCGUGGUCUGGCUUUUACACAUCUGAAUAUCCAAAAUAAUCCUUUUUUCCGCAUCACAGCAAUCAGGAUGACAUGGGUCUAGGGAGGAAAACACAAGUACGAUAUAGUGGAAACCUUGCCUUAGAUUUAAUUUGGGUAAAAUUAGUCUAGACAUUUUCUUCCUUAUCUUACUGCUUCUCUUCUGUGAAAGGGGAAUGAACGCUAGGAUUUCCAGGUCAGAGUACAGGAACAUGAAUCACACCAGAAGACUGCGGGAAGCUUGCCAGUGCCUGCCUACUCUCCACUUCUGUCUGCUACUCUGUAAUGUGUGUGAGUGUGUGAUCACUGAAUACUACUUCAGAAGAAGGAGAGGAAAAAGACAGGUCUUCCUCUGCAUGGAGAGGGGUAAGAUGAGAAAGCAAGUGACAGAAUGUGAUCCCAAACAACAUGCCUGAGAGAUUCAGUUGUGGCUGCAGCUGCUUGCACUACAUUCAGUUCAGCCCACUGGGCAACAUCAGGAUUUUGCCUUAGUCCCUACGUCUAGUGAAUAGUAGGUCCUUCCCUUCAUGGACAAUUGCAAGGAAUCUGUUCAGAAGUACUACUAUGUGUGCAAGAGAAGAAAAUUUAUGGGGCUGACCAGCUCUCCUUUGCUGAAUACUACCAUCUGCCAGCCAAAGCUCUCCACCAGCUCUCCCCACUGAGCCACCAAUCUUUAUCUCUGUUGAUUUCAACAGGAAUAGCUCUGUAUUGGCUUGGUAAAGGCACAGUAGCCAUGUGAGAUGAGCAUCAAGUCCAUUAGCUGUUCCUUCCUCACUUGGUUUUAGCAGGGGCUGUGCCGGCAGGUAAACUCCUCCGGGCUGUAUAGGAAGCAGCUGAUGCUGUGCUCCCUCCCCUUGCGCUGCGUGGCUCCACCAGCAGCCCUGUGUGCCUCCUUAGUUGCAGGUUAGAGGCAGUAAAAUGUCCCCUUUCUGUCAGUAAAUAGCACUUCUGAGUGUUUCUCAGCUGGCAGCCCCAGGCCCCUGCAGCAUUUUCAUUGAUUUUGCUCGGUGUGUGGAGGGUAAUUUCUGCCUCGGAGGGCGCAGGAGCCCCACGGUGUUCCUGCAGCUUGGGACGAGCCUGCUGAGCAUCACAUCCCUGCUACUCGGCUCCUUCCAGAGAGGCUGUCAGUUCGACUUUGCUUCAAAUCUGCCUCAGUUUAACAAGGCUGUUGUUAGACUGUAAAAUGAAAGGAAAGUUUUCAACUUCUUUGCUUCUCUGACAUGAUUCUGUAUUAUAUGUAUCAAUGCAGACUCGCAAGGCAAGCAGAAGACUACAAGCAGGUCUGUUGUAGGUACCAGUGUUACCACACGAUGCCUCCGGGCUUUUCUCAGAGCUCCCAUCUGCACACCUUGGUGCAAGUGACCUCUUCUGAAGCUGCCUCUGCCUGAAGGCAUCCUGAAGUAUGGAUGGGCCUUUACGAGAGGCAUCUUCCAACUGGGGUCGCUAAAACUCUGACAGCCAAGCCCGACUCUGCUCAUAGCAGGUAUUCGGACAGAGAAAUGAAACAUCAGUUUCACUGCAAGUUCACAGAAGCAGCUUAGGAAGCAGCUUAGAAGCACUCUAGCAUCAGCUUGACUGCUGAAAAAAGGCAGGAGAUUUUAUUAGUGAAAUCCUCUGACACCACCUUUCUGGAGCCUUUUCUGAAGGAGCUCAACAGGAGGUGACUGGUGCAAGGAAAUCCUUCGCUCUGCAAGUGAAGAGCCUGGGGCUGCAGUCCUGGGACUGUAAUGCCCUGCUCAGACGAUCUCAGAGCUCCUAUAGGAAUGUGCUGGGAAUCCUGCAGAGUCAAUGUGUACUCUCUUCACUUUAUAAAUGAAGAAACAAAGUCACAGGCUGGCUUAUCUGUGGCAAGCAGACUCUGUUCAACUGGCCUGUGAGGCUGCCUUUCUGCAGGCAGAGGAGAAAGGUGUCUGCGAUAUCUUGGUUUUGUUCUUCCUAUCUGAAAGCUGUUGGUAUGUACCUAAAGAGUCCAUCGGGGAGAGAUCCUGCCAUUUCUAAAGAGGAAGGUAAGACUUUUCCAGAAUAUUUGGGGCCACUUUCAUGCUUUCAGUGCUCACAGACCAAACUGGAGAAGGUUUCUUGGUGCUCAGUUCCACUGAGGUCAGUGAAAGUCACCUAUGCUCGGUAUUUCUUAGAUGAGCGAAGCUGCCACAGAACCACUCCAGAAGUUCCCCCAGCUUGCAGAAUUACUUGUUGUGGGUUUGUCUCUUCCUAAGAACGAAUUCCAGCUAUUGCACAUCUCCCCAUUCAUUGCUCUGUGCCCGCAGCUUUUGGCAUAUGGGCUGUUUUGUGGAAUGCUGGUUUGUUUUUUUUUUGCACUUUGUCAGGCCCCUGAAGUUACAUAAUGCUUUGUGUGUUUCCCAAGUGAUACUUUUUAAACUGAAUUGUGGCAAACGCUGUAGCUUGGGUAGGAGCAUUCACGUAUACCCCUGUAUGUGUCAGACAUGACCAUGCAUAAGCUAAUAUCCAUACUUCAACCUCAAGCAAUCAAAAAUCUUCUACCAGGACAUUUAAAAAAAAUAUUAUAAAAACAAACAAACCAAACCAAACCAAAACAACAUCAACAACAAAACCCCACAUGAGAUUAAUGAAACCGUGGUUCUUUUUCUUUUCUUUUAUUUUUUUCCACUGUUCUCCACAAAUGAAAAAAAAAACAAAUAUACUUACAGUUCCUUCUCAUGAAACAAAGGUUCUUGGACAGUCUUGUGGCCAGAGAAACUGGGGCUUUAAGAAGAAGUUAUAAAACUGAGAUUCAUUACAAGAUCUAGAGAGUGGACAAAGCACUAGCACUUACCCAUAUACAACAGCUUUUGUUGUAAGCAACAGGAAAAGGAAAAAAUCAAAUACCACACAUGAAUUCUGAAAAUUCACUGUUUUUCACACACGCACACACACACACACAAAUAAAACCCCUAACCCAAGUCAUUUAUUUAUAUUAUUGUCUUCCAGCAGCUUUUCCACUGGCUAAUUUUUCUAAACUACUUUGAGAUCCUAGGGUCAAACACAAAAUGAGGAAUAAAUUUCAGAGAGCACAGGGAAAGAGAACUUUACUGUGUGUGAGAAUAACUAAUGAAAAAUUCUGGCAAUAACUAAUUUGUCUCUUUCACUGGUCUCCUGCUCAUCUUUAACACUGUGUCCCUUUUUCUUUUCAGAAUCUGAAUGUUUUCAUUAGAAUAAAUGAUGUGACUCUGAGGAUAACCUCGCUAUGUGGUAUUAUUUAUAAGAGAAAAGGAAGAGAUUUUUCUCCAUUGGAUGUAACUUCACAACGUUGCGGUUUGUCCUAGUUUUAUCAAGCCAAUGCAGGUUUCCAGAGGGGCCCUGUGCACAACCCUUGCUCUGCAGCAGCGCUGGCACCACACCGAUGCUGAAGCCCUGUUCUCUAGCAGACUCUGUGCUGGACUACCCUGGUGUUCCCUCUUCCCCUGUACUUCAUAUCCAGCAUGCUGUGCUGAGGCUUGUAACUCAUCUCAUUGUCAUUUCAGGUUACAGAGCUCUGAUCUUCUGCUGUUCUUUCCUAAACACAUGUGCUCUGAAUGCCUCCCAUUUGCGUUAACCCACAAUUCAGUAAAUGGUAGAGUAAACAACCAGAGAGACUGCAGCAUUGCAAUUGUUAGUCUCCUUUUGCACAGCAGUGUACACCCACUAAGUAUUGUUAGAUAUUUAAUCCACAACCAUAAAACCCAUUCACAGCUUAAGGCGUUUUCUUUUCCUAAGACCACCUCAAAAAACCCCCAUACAAUUAGUAGUUAUAAAACCAACAUUUCUAGCGACUGAUUUUGUUGGCUCCUUCCUUCCCUUUUGGCCUUGCUGCUUGCAUCCCACUUAAUUUUUAAUAUCUUUCCUUGGUUUUGUCUCUUGUUCUGAAGUUCCUCUGCAGAGCAGCAUUGUCCUGCAUGACCAGUUUGCUGGUGCCCAGGUACUAUGUAAAGACAACUUGAGAUAUUAUGUAUGCGUCUUGUAAGUUUGGGAAGGGUCUCGUGUCUACAUCAUAUUUUUUUUUCUUCUCUGCAACUCUUCUAAAUAAGUUAAUGAAAAAUGAGUUGUGUGGUGAUCAUCCCUUUGGUUACCUUAGCAAUUUAAUAACCAGCUGCUGGCCUUCAGUGUGAAGUGCCAGGUCCUUUGGUGCCUGACGUUGAGAGCAAGCCUGGGGCUCCUCACUUCAGCUCUGCCCCUUGCCUCGAUUGCUCAGGCUUUUCCCCUCUUUAUGAUUUCCAGUUUCUUUUCUGUUUUGGUCUCUGACAAUGCCUAGGUCAUCGGUGUCUGAGAGCAGAGGACGUGAGGGGCUGUCCAAACUGAAGCCAGAUUCCCCGAGAAUUCAAUAUCCAACGUCGGAUUCACUUCUGACAGCUGCCCAGCAGAGCCCAGCAGUGGUGGUGGCAGUGUGAGAAGCAGGAGAGAGAGGAAGGGAUGCUGAGGAGCAGGGCGGUCGCAGCGUGGUCAGGAGAGGUGGCCAAGUCCAACAGGGGAUCUUUGCUAACACAGUGGCAUAGCUGUGUGCUCAUCCCCAGGUCUGCACGUCUUGCACACUGGAUUAGCAGAGGCAUGCUAAAAGGAGCAGACUCAGGCCUUCGCUGGAGCCCUGGGAACAGCUCUCCAGCACAUGAGAAAGGAAACACCUAGCAGAGGGAGGACCUCAGCCCUUUAUAUUCAUAAGGAAAAGCCUGUUGCAAAGACAGACAUGGAAGACAAAGUUUAUUUGCAGCCCAGCAAUGAAAAUGAGUUUCAAGGAGACAUAUUUUGUGGCUGCUUUACUGAAAAUAUACGGACUUCAGUACGCUCACUUGUUAUGUCACUCUGGAAUUUUGUAGUGCAGCUCAGAGUUCCUACUUCACCCUUUUCCUCUACCCACUCUUGCUUGGCAGCUUGAUCAUCUGAGCAUUCAUUUUGGAGCCCUGACAAAUUCCUGAACAAAACAGCAAUCGCUGCUCUGUGAUUUCCACAAGGUUCUCUCGUGUUCCCAUGCACCUGCACCCCCAGAGACUGAACGUCUCAUAUCCCUUUAUGAGGAAAUGGCUACUUCUGAGUUAAACUAUUGCUAGGGUGGAAGAAGAAAGCCCAUCAAACCGUCGUGUUUAUUGAAGCAUUCAGUGAACUUAGAGUGCAUGUUAAUUGUAUGUACCAUAAAACUGAAAUACUGCAAUAGCUUUAUUGGAACCGGAUGCUUUAAAGUCAUUUAAGCCUAAACACAUUUAAUUCAUGACAGAGUUUCCUGUUUCUGGGUCCUGAGCAUCCUACUGGUGUUAGUAUGGGGGAAAGAAGAAGCACAAAGAUAACAUCACGAGAACUUUAAUGACUUUUCAUCCCUUUCACAAAUGAAGGAGCAGCCUUAUACAUGUGUGGAAAUGUGAUGAUGGAGUGGCUUUAAAAGCAGGGUUGGAAAGGAAAGACUUUCAAGAAGGGCAGUGCACCAUCUUGUCCUGUGCCUGCUCAGUCUCUUGUACUUCGUAUCUUGGGUCCAGGUCCUGUGUUCUGACCAUGCUCUGCUUCCAGAAAAUAGCUGCAUGAAUUCUCUUCUCUGAAGGUUUGGAGGAAGAACAACCCAAGCCAAAAUCUGGGGACUAAUUCUGGAAUUGACAACAUGGCAAUAAAAGUAUUUCCCUCCAGUUAUGAACAGGCUGAAAAGUAGACACUCCAGAUAUGCUACCUUAUUUUCAGUGGCUUAUUAAUAAUGUGUACAGUUAUUUCUCCUCCAUAACACUAUCAAAAGCAGCUUGUUUAAAAACAACACGCAGGCAAAUGUAUCCUUCCUUUUUAUAGCAGGAGAGAGAAGGAUGAGUGUCAGUCAGUCAAGACUGGUUCCAAAAACAUCUCCAACGAGGCUCCUACAGAGUAAGUGAUGUUGGCCAGGGGCCAUCUGGAGUACACAGGGCUAUAACUCUUUACAGAGUGUUUGUUAUGGAUUUCUACAGCGGAGAUAUUUACCCCAGAAGAACAAACAGAUCCCGCUACUGUGUUUCCUUGUGCUUCGUAGAAGUGCUUAAACUAUUCACAGUGUUGCCUAAUACCGUCUAGAUUAGUUUCAUUUUCUGUGCAUUCUUUCAUCCCACUCUGUGUUAGGGUCAGUGUGGAUGCAAACUGCCCAAAACAACGCAUCUAAUUCCCUUGGUACCCCAGUGUUGUUGCAAAAUCUCACAAUCGCCCCUCAGGGAGUAUGGCAGCGGUCUGCAGAAAGCAUCCCAACUCACUUGCUCCAGAGCAGUGUGACUGCAGAGAUAGCCAAACUUGGAAGCAAUUUAGCCUGCGCACUCUGCAAAUGUCCUCGAGCUUAAUCCAGUGCAGUGCUUCAGGGUUAUUCACCAGUGAUUUCUGCUUUGGACAAAGCCUGGGAAGUUUAUGUUCAGGACACAACCCUCCUGAAAGCUUUUGCACCUCUUUGUUGGAAUAAGAGUGUUAGGAUUUCAGUGUACCUCCAGGAGGAGGUAUGAAUUCCCUGUCCUUGGGUGAUAUAGGAAGCUCAAGGUAAACUAAGGAGUGAAUUUCACUUGAUGGAAUAACUAAGUCAUUUUUGGCUUUAUCAUAACCCCAGGAUGUUUGCCUUAUUCAGAGUUUUCUUGUGUAGUUUGAUAUUGCUUCUUUGCUUCCUUUAAGAGAUAUUUCAUACAUUUUUUUCAACUUUUUACGUACCUGUAGUGCUUAAGGAAUUAUUCGACUUAGAACACAAAGCAACAGAAAGUAACUGUCUGUGGACAAAACCAAUUAUUUUAAUCAUUUAAACUAUUAUUUUAAAUGUUCAUAUAAUCUUUCAGGAUCUCCACAUGAUACUAAGAUGAUUUAUUCUCCUAUGAAGAGCAACUUACAGCUAUUUUGGUUCCGAGAGGACAGGGAGCUGGAGAGCCCUUGUGGCAGCGGAGGGACCCGAACUGCAGGGACUGUGUGUGAGUGGUGUCUGCUGCAGGAAAUUUGGCAGAAGAAAGCACAGGGAGAGGAGUGUGGGCUGCAGGAAGGUGGGCAGGGAUUCUGGCUGGGAUGAAGGUCUGGGACUCUGACUGGAGAUGCAGGGACAUCGUGGUAUUAGAAAGCAGAGAGAUUUCUGGGGAAGAAAGAGGCAUCACAUGAAAAAGAAAUAAGCUGUGUGACUGAUCAGUGCACCAGUGAGAAGGCGUCCUUGCACCAACGAUUCUUCAGAGGCCAGCACCACUGGCCUGGUGCUCAGUAUUUGUUUUUCUUUUCCUUGCUUGUUAAUUAUUGAAGCCAAUGGCCAUUAAGGCAGUGGACCUCCUGCUAUUGGGUUUAUCUCUCCUUUUACAGUCCUGUCAAGCAGCAGUAAUGUAGAUAAGCUGCUGGGUGGCGGCUCUUCAGACAGCAAUUAAAACUAUACUCAGAAUUACAAGGAAAAAUUCAGCUGCAUUGAUAUUGGAAAUAAACUUUAAGUAGAAGAGAAAUCAGUUUAACCCUGGCAGUCAAAUGGAAAGGCUGAGCUCUGCUGGGUCACCUCCUGCCUGACUUACUUAAGGUUUAGGCAGACCUAGUAAAACUUAUAAUAAAGGUAGGGCUUUGCCAAGAAUUACGCACUUAUUGCAUAAUGUCACCAAAGCAAGCCCCCCUAUAAAACAGUCGGUUCCUGAUAAGCUUUUCUUUUCUACCACGGUACUUCCACUGAUUUUAGCAGGGCUCAAGAGCCCCAUGCUUACACAGCAGCACAGACACGUGCCCUCUGUCAAAGGGUCCGUACUCUUUGGCUGAACCACAAGAGGCUUCUGUAGUCUUUUGCUGGGAAUCUUGACACUAUCUAUUAUUUACAGUUCUGUGAAAGGAAUUCAAGAGUUGAGGGCAGCAGAAAGGAUGCAAUCUGGAAGGGUGAAAAUGUUACCUUUCUUACAGUGUGUGUAACUGGGAAGGUUCAGUCUCACAAGGAGCAAACAUACCACUUUCAUAUCCAUCCUGCCAAAGGAUGCGAAUGGCACUGCUUAUUAGGGUGUUUCAUCUGAAAUGACAAACUUCAGAGGCCAGGGCAAUUUGAGGACAACUUAAAUGUAAGAAGAUGUAUUGGGAGACAAGGGGAAGGAUUAGAGUCUGGAGGAUUAGAAGGUGGGACAGAAGAUGCCUUGCUGCAGAGGCGCCGUUGUUCUGGUAGCUGGAUGUGACACAGACAAUGCCUUGCUGUGCAUCAAGGGCAGAACAUACGUCUGCCUCUGGAGCAGGGCGUACACCUACUAAUCCCUCAGGAGCAGCUGCUUAAUUAAUAAAGCCAUGAAGAAAACUCUCUUUGGCUUUGUCUCUCCGUUUUUCUGACUUCAGGGUCGAUGAG